GGGGGCGAUUGGUUUCGACAGGGAGUACAAGGAUCAAAAGCUGCAAGCCGAGGUGCCGUUACCUCGUAAAACAACGGACAAAAAAGAAGUGCCAACACAAAUUUAGCAUUAGCUGCUUAAUUUAGCAGCUACGCUCUUCUAACCCGGGCUGGCAGGGUUAGAAGGGUGUCAUAAUGAGCCAGCUGCCCCUUCCGACUCCCCUAAGGAAGGGAAAGAUGUAGGGGAUAGGUGCUUACAGAAUCCUGCGGGAGGGAGUCUGUAAGUGCCGAAAAGUUAAAACUCCCGCUAAGCUUGUAGAGGCUUUUGAUUCUUGCUCUCUGGACGCGGGUUCGACUCCCGCCGCCUCCACCA
rnacentral:tmRNA from 1 species